rnacentral:rRNA from 1 species
UACGAAGGGGCUAGCGUUGUUCGGAAUCACUGGGCGUAAAGGGCACGUAGGCGGAUCUUUAAGUCAGGGGUGAAAUCCCGAGGCUCAACCUCGGAACUGCCUUUGAUACUGGGGAUCUCGAGUCCGGGAGAGGUGAGUGGAACUGCGAGUGUAGAGGUGAAAUUCGUAGAUAUUCGCAAGAACACCAGUGGCGAAGGCGGCUCACUGGCCCGGAACUGACGCUGAGGUGCGAAAGCGUGGGGAGCAACAGG